ACCAUUUCCACCUCCCGCUGCUCAGAGGAGGUCGGCAAGACAGCCAGAGACUGCGAACCUGCAGGAGUAGAGGUGUGGGAUGGCAAUAAAGAGCACCCAAAGAGAACCGGCAGGUGGAACCGCCUUAGUUCAACUCCCUUCCACAGUGUUUACAGCUCCUGUCUGCUGCUCCUCGGUGUCAGUGAUGAACAGCGAGAUGAGACACCGUGGCCUUGAUGUCCUGCUGUGCGUUCUUCAUGCGGUCAUGGAAAACUUUGAAGAACUUCUCUGACUUGUUGUCGCCCAUCAUUAGCUUGUAGAAAGAGUUCUGAAGAGGACAAAAAAGAUGAUUGGGGGACAUCAUGGCUUCCAUGGGAACAGAGCU